AGCUUCCAAUAUAGUUGAAAGGACUAUACAAUAUGACGCCAAAAAGAGGGAAGAUAGAGAUGAAAACUACAGGAGGAAAAACUAGAUCUGUAAGAAAAAUUAACGGAGGUAGAUUAAAAAAAAAAGCCAAUGGAGAAUUUGAAAUGCAGUAGAAAUCUUGGCAGCCCACAUCUUCAGAAACAAAUGCAAACACUGGAAUCUGUGUAAUGAACCAGAAUGAGUACGUGGUCUCGCUCUGUGCCCAAGCUGGAGUGCAGUGGUGUAAUCACACCUCACUGCAGCCUUGACCUCCCAGGCUCAAGCAAUCCUCCCAUCUCAGCCUCCCAAGUAACUAGGACUACAGAGAUGCUCAAGCACUGAAUUGUCUUAAGAAAACAAGUAAGGUUUUGUCACCUAUCCUAUUUCUCACUGCAAGUUGAAAAAAAUCAAAUCCAAACACCACCACCCCUUCUAUGACAACAAACGGCUGUGGAGGUAAUCUUAUUUUCCUAAGGGUAGUUUCAUGAUGACAGUGUCAAAAAAUUACUGUGGAUAAAGAAAAAAUUGUCUCAAUGAAAUAGAAUUUUUCACUGAACACAGAAACCAUCUCAAUAGUUGCUGCUCCCUGGUUUCCAGGCCACGCAACAGACAUCAAACCAGGAAGCCAAACUUUCAUGGACCUGUGUUAAGAAAAACACACAUACAUGGGCAUACUACUUUUUCCAGAAAAACGGAA
rnacentral:lncRNA from 1 species